rnacentral:rRNA from 1 species
GAUGAACGCUAGCUACAGGCUUAACACAUGCAAGUCGAGGGGCAGCGGGACUGAAGCUUGCUUCAAUUGCCGGCGACCGGCGCACGGGUGAGUAACGCGUAUCCAACCUUCCGUACACUCAGGGAUAGCCUUUCGAAAGAAAGAUUAAUACCUGAUGGUAUGAUGAGAUUGCAUGAUAGCAUCAUUAAAGAUUUAUCGGUGUACGAUGGGGAUGCGUUCCAUUAGGUAGUAGGCGGGGUAACGGCCCACCUAGCCAACGAUGGAUAGGGGUUCUGAGAGGAAGGUCCCCCACAUUGGAACUGAGACACGGUCCAAACUCCUACGGGAGGCAGCAGUGAGGAAUAUUGGUCAAUGGACGAGAGUCUGAACCAGCCAAGUAGCGUGAAGGAUGAAGGUCCUACGGAUUGUAAACUUCUUUUAUAAGGGAAUAAACCCUCCCACGUGUGGGAGCUUGUAUGUACCUUAUGAAUAAGCAUCGGCUAACUCCGUGCCAGCAGCCGCGGUAAUACGGAGGAUGCGAGCGUUAUCCGGAUUUAUUGGGUUUAAAGGGAGCGCAGGCUGCGAGGCAAGUCAGCGGUCAAAUGUCGGGGCUCAACCCCGGCCUGCCGUUGAAACUGUCCUGCUAGAGUUCGAGUGAGGUAUGCGGAAUGCGUUGUGUAGCGGUGAAAUGCAUAGAUAUGACGCAGAACUCCGAUUGCGAAGGCAGCAUACCAACUCGCGACUGACGCUGAGGCUCGAAAGCGUGGGUAUCGAACAGGAUUAGAUACCCUGGUAGUCCACGCAGUAAACGAUGAAUACUAACUGUUCGGAGGGCGACCUCUGAGUG